AUUGAACGCUGGCGGAAUGCUUUACACAUGCAAGUCGAACGGCAGCACGGACUUCGGUCUGGUGGCGAGUGGCGAACGGGUGAGUAAUGUAUCGGAACGUGCCCCGUCGUGGGGGAUAACGUAGUGAAAAUUACGCUAAUACCGCAUACGAUCUAUGGAUGAAAGCGGGGGAUCGCAAGACCUCGCGCGAUUGGAGCGGCCGAUAUCGGAUUAGGCAGUUGGUGGGGUAAAGGCCCACCAAGCCAACGAUCUGUAGCGGGUCUGAGAGGACGACCAGCCACACGUGAACUGAUACACGGUCCACACUACUACGGGAGGCAGCAGUGGUGAAUUUUGGACAAUAGGCGAAAGCCUGAUCCAGCCAUUCCGCGUGCAGGAUGAAGGCCCUCGGGUUGUAAACUGCUUUUGUACAGAACGAAAAGGUUUCUACUAAUACUAGGAGCUCAUGACGGUACUGUAAGAAUAAGCACCGGCUAACUACGUGCCAGCCGCCGCAGUAA
rnacentral:rRNA from 1 species